CAGUCGCCGCGGUAAUACGUAGGUGGCAAGCGUUGUCCGGAAUUAUUGGGCGUAAAGGGCUCGCAGGCGGUUUCUUAAGUCUGAUGUGAAAGCCCCCGGCUCAACCGGGGAGGGUCAUUGGAAACUGGGAAACUUGAGUGCAGAAGAGGAGAGUGGAAUUCCACGUGUAGCGGUGAAAUGCGUAGAGAUGUGGAGGAACACCAGUGGCGAAGGCGACUCUCUGGUCUGUAACUGACGCUGAGGAGCGAAAGCGCGGGGAGCGAACAGGAUUAGAUACCCCUGUAGUCCCUGUCUCUUAUAC
rnacentral:rRNA from 1 species